CUUUAAUUGCCAGCAUUCAGUUGGGCACUUUAAGAGACUGCCGGUGUUAAACCGGAGGAAGUGGGGAUGACGUCAAGUCCUCAUGGCCUUUAUGCUUAGGGCUACACACGUGCUACAAUGGGUGGUACAAAGAGAAGCCAACUCGCGAGAGCGCGCCAAUCUCAAAAAGCCAUCCUCAGUUCGGAUUGGAGUCUGCAACUCGACUCCAUGAAGUUGGAAUCGCUAGUAAUCGCGGAUCAGCAUGCCGCGGUCCGAAUACGUUCCGGCCUU
rnacentral:rRNA from 1 species